GUAACCACAACAUUUAAAGACUGCAACUGGACAAGUGCAGCCAUCAGGAGUUUAGGCCUAUCAAGACUUGUCUACUAAAUUUCAAAGGUUGAGCCCCCCAGUUGUAAAGGAGACCUAUUAGAAGAUGAAAGGGCUAGAGGAGAAGCAAAUGGAUUCCAAUCUGGACCUUGAUAAUUCUAUCAUGCAGCUUGUCCACAAUAUCUCAUCAGUAUUCGCACUCCCCUUCCCCCACCAUAAAAAUCUAUAGUAGGUACCCCAACAUCACUGCAGCUAGUUACAGUCAUGCUUUCCAAGCCAGCUGCUCACAGCUAUUGAAUUCAGAUCACCCCAUCGACCCAUCAAUCAAUUCAUGGCCCAUAAGACAUCCGCUCCGCAUGUCCCUACUCGGCGAAGGUCGGUAAACUUAAUAGAAGAUGAAGAGGUCAAAAAUGGUGGCUGCUAUCAAAUUUAAACAAGUAAAUGCUCUUCACUACUCAUCUUUACUCUCUUUUUUUGCAUAAAUAAUAUGCAGCCUGUUUACUUUGGGUAUGCGU